AAAACUUCAACGAAGAGAACGAGUAAGCUAUGAAUGCCGAUCUGCAGAGAGUUGGUGAAGUGCUGCAAGCCAACGUUCGGCGCAUAACUGAACAUCAUCUCUGAGAAGCGUGGCCGAACGAGAGUGAGUAAGCUGCGCCGGAAUGUCCACCGUUAUUCGGAUAUCGCAGCGACUGUCGCUGCGAAUAGAGCUGCAUGGAGCAGGAAGGAUAGAUGAAUUGGCAAUUGCGAUUGUCUAUCAUCAGGCUGCAUGAAUAUGGGUGGUAACGCGGAUAGAAUCCGUCCCUUUC
rnacentral:ncRNA from 1 species